CCUACGGGGUGCAGCAGUGAGGAAUAUUGGUCAAUGGGCGGGAGCCUGAACCAGCCAAGUCGCGUGAGGGAAGACGGUCCUAUGGAUUGUAAACCUCUUUAGGCGGGGAGCAAUGCCGGGCACGCGUGCCCGGAGGGAGAGUACCCGCAGAAUAAGCAUCGGCUAACUCCGUGCCAGCAGCCGCGGUAAUACGGAGGAUUCGAGCGUUAUCCGGAUUUAUUGGGUUUAAAGGGUGCGUAGGCGGAUUUUUAAGGCAGCGGUAAAAUGUCCGGGCUCAACCCGGGCCGGCCGUUGAAACUGGGGAGCUUGAGUGGGCGAGAAGUAUGCGGAAUGCGUGGUGUAGCGGUGAAAUGCAUAGAUAUCACGCAGAACUCCGAUUGCGAAGGCAGCAUACCGGCGCCCGACUGACGCUGAGGCACGAAAGCGUGGGGAUCGAACAGGAUUAGAUACCCGGGUAGUC
rnacentral:rRNA from 1 species